rnacentral:rRNA from 1 species
UACGUAGGGGGCAAGCGUUGUCCGGAAUUAUUGGGCGUAAAGAGCGUGUAGGCGGUCCGGUAAGUUAGAGGUGAAAGCCCGGAGCUCAACUCCGGAAUUGCCUUUAAGACUGCAUCGCUAGAAUUGUGGAGAGGUAAGUGGAAUUCCGAGUGUAGAGGUGAAAUUCGUAGAUAUUCGGAAGAACACCAGUGGCGAAGGCGACUUACUGGACACAUAUUGACGCUGAGGUGCGAAAGCGUGGGGAGCAAACAGG